rnacentral:rRNA from 1 species
UGGGGAAUUUUGGACAAUGGGCGCAAGCCUGAUCCAGCCAUUCCGCGUGCAGGACGAAGGCCUUCGGGUUGUAAGCUGCUUUUGUACGGAACGAAAAGGCUCUGGCUAAUACCUGGGGCUCAUGACGGUACCGUAAGAAUAAGCACCGGCUAACUACGUGCCAGCAGCCGCGGUAAUACGUAGGGUGCAAGCGUUAAUCGGAAUUACUGGGCGUAAAGCGUGCGCAGGCGGUUAUGUAAGACAGAGGUGAAAUCCCCGGGCUCAACCUGGGAACUGCCUUUGUGACUGCAUAGCUGGAGUACGGCAGAGGGGGAUGGAAUUCCGCGUGUAGCAGUGAAAUGCGUAGAUAUGCGGAGGAACACCGAUGGCGAAGGCAAUCCCCUGGGCCUGUACUGACGCUCAUGCACGAAAACGUGGGGAGCAAACAG